GCACUAGGACCCAAGGGAAUGGCAUGGAGCUGUGUCAGGGGAGGUUUAGGUUGGGUAUCAGGGAAACAUUCUUCACCCAGAAGAUGGAACUGCAGUUAG